AUUGAACGCUGGCGGCAUGCCUUACACAUGCAAGUCGAACGGUAACGCGGGGCAACCUGGCGACGAGUGGCGAACGGGUGAGUAAUGCAUCGGAACGUGCCUAGUAGUGGGGGAUAGCCCGGCGAAAGCCGGAUUAAUACCGCAUACGACCUCAGGGUGAAAGCGGGGGAUCGCAAGACCUCGCGCUAUUGGAGCGGCCGAUGUCAGAUUAGGUAGUUGGUGAGGUAAAGGCUCACCAAGCCUUCGAUCUGUAGCUGGUCUGAGCGGACGACCAGCCACACUGGGACUGAGACACGGCCCAGACUCCUACGGGAGGCAGCAGUGGGGAAUUUUGGACAAUGGGCGCAAGCCUGAUCCAGCCAUGCCGCGUGCGGGAAGAAGGCCUUCGGGUUGUAAACCGCUUUUGUCAGGGAAGAAAAGCUCUGGGCUAAUACCUCAGGGUAAUGACGGUACCUGAAGAAUAAGCACCGGCUAACUACGUGCCAGCAGCCGCGGUAAUAC
rnacentral:rRNA from 1 species